CCAUUACGGCAAGAUAAGUGAAAUACAGUGCUGGCGGCCUGUUGAAUGGAAAAAAGAUGUUCGUAGAACAGUAUGGAUUCCUUACGGUAGCCUUGAAGUUCUAGUAGAAUUUAGGAUGAGCAAAUGAGGUUCCAUUACGGCAAGAUAAGUGAAAUACAGUGCUGGCGGCCUGUUGAAUGUGGAAAAAAGAUGUUCGUAUGAACAGUAUGGAUUCCUUACGGUAGCCUUGAAGUUCUAGUAGAAUUUAGGAUGAGCAAAUGAGGUUCCAAAAGCAACGUGUUUAAUUUAUUCAUUAUGGUAGCCUUGAAGUUCUAGUAGAAUUUAGGAUGAGCAAAUGAGGUUCCAAAAGCAACGUGUUUAAUUUAUUCAUUAUGGUAGCCUUGAAGUUCUAGUAGAAUUUAGGAUGAGCAAAUGAGGUUUCCAAAAACAACGGUUUUUAAUUAACGCUCUGGUCUCGAGUGAAGCGAAGAAUCAAUGGUGCGCAUCAUUUUUCUAGAAAUUUACUUCUGUAUAUUUUCCUUGAGAUACACAAACACACACAACAAAAACUGAUGAAAGAAUUUCGAUUUGUUUUUUUUUUUU